rnacentral:misc_RNA from 1 species
GAUGAAGAACGUAGCGAAAUGCGAUAAGUAGUGUGAAUUGCAGAAUUCAGUGAAUCAUCGAAUCUUUGAACGCACAUUGCGCCCUUUGGUAUUCCAAAGGGCAUGCCUGUUCAAGCGUCAUUUGUACCCUCAAGCUUUGCUUGGUGUUGGGCGUCUUGUCUCUAGCUUUGCUGGAGACUCGCCUUAAAGUAAUUGGCAGCCGGCCUACUGGUUUCGGAGCGCAGCACAAGUCGCACUCUCUAUCAGCAAAGGUCUAGCAUCCACUAAGCCUUUUUUUCAACUUUUGACCUCGGAUCAGGUAGGGAUACCCGCUGAACUUAAGCAUAUCAAUAAGCGGAGGA